UGAAGAGAGUUUGUAAAUGCGCAGGAGUUGAGAAAUAUUGAGUGUUGGAAUUUAUAGCCAGGCGCCGCCCUGACUGUCAGAGUUCGAGGCGGUGGAGAUGGUAUUCUGAAUAGAAAACUUGGGAAACAGGACAGACUAGCUCAAAACUGGGAUUAUCUGUAAAGAAUAGUUGGACCACACCCAAUCUGCACUUGUGAAGGGUUGGUAAAGGUUGGUACCACUGGUGUGAUGGGUGUAUGUGUGGAGGGGGAGGAGAAAUGUGCAAAGUGCUCCUACAGUAUAUAAGUACCCACACCAUCUUUUGCCUGCACUUUGCUUCCCCUCAACUCACCCAGCACACAGAUCACGCUCUAAUCGCAAACCAUGGAACCAACCACCCUUGAGAUGGGAUUGAUCGCUCUUGUUACGACUUUUAAAAAGUAUGCAGGAGAGGGCAGACAACAGACUCUCAACAAGGCCGAGCUAAAGAAUCUGCUGGCCAGUGAGCUUCCUCAUCUGAUGGCGAAAGGGGGAGACCAAGUGGAUGAGGUGAUUGACAUGUUGGACAAGGACGCUGAUGGGAGUCUUGACUUUCAAGAGUACUUCACUCUAGUUGCCGGCUUGGCUACAAGUGUCCACACCGCACUGGAAAAUCACUAAAACGUUUUUGAAAAAAAUGUUUUUUAGAGUCAACGGUGUCUAUAGACAGUGGUUAUGUUAAAGGGGCAAUUGACUGCAAAACCGAUUUUACCUUGUCAUUGUUGAAAAACGACAGUUUGGAGGGUAAACUGAACAUACCGUGAAUAUCAAAGUCCAUUGACACCUCUUUCCUAUUCAAAUCUCGAAAAGAAAAAAAAUUGCUGUAAAACGCUAGCUUUUCAACAAAGCCACCGGUCCUACGUAGGACCGGUGAUCGCCCUCUUAUUGGCUCUGGUCUGUAUCUUUGUCACGCCCCGGAAUUUACAUCCAGACCAGCCCGAGGUAGCGUCUAUCUCCGAUACUAGUUUAGCUGCGCGCUGCUCUGUGUAGGCUACUUAUAAGGAAUUACAAA